UGAGCUUCUGCUACUGUGUACACAUGGGCUACUUGUUCAUAAAUUAAACGUUUACAGAUACAGUCAUGGACGCAGCGUUUCUUCUACCCAGAAUGCUGCAGUGAGAGGAAGUUGUUUCUGCUUACGCUGAAGCUCAGGGCAGUCCACUGACUCGAUCAGUAUAACAGCGCAGGCAGAGGACGAGGAGCGCAGACGGGAGAGAACAGACGGCGGGGACGGGCGAAGAUGGCGAUGCGGCGCGCUCCGAGUGAGAAGAGCUCAUUAAAACGAAGAAGAUUAAGGAAGAGAAUGGCGUCGACCCGUUCAGACGAAAGAGCAGAUCGCGACGGUGGGAACAUGGAAUCAGAACAACUAGAUGAAAGAUGAUGGCGUUUCGUUCAGUCUCAUAUCAUGUAAAUGUUCCUGAUCUGCCAAACGUCAAAGAAAGAUGAGGAAAAGGAUUUUCGCUGUGAUGUUUGCCUGAAGAGGAAGCUUCAGCAAAGUUUCAAGGAAGGGAAGACUACUCUAACCAAUUCUGGACAGUCAAGUGGAGACUACUGCUUAAUGAGGAAGAUGGCGGCUCAUGUUUUGCUUUUGGAUUUGGAAAGAGACAUUUUAUUUGUUUCUGAUUUGCUAUGAUAUUUUAAUUCAUUCGCUAAUGUGCUCAACAAUUGUAUGUAUUUUCUCAUAUUUUACUGCAUUGUUGCUUUGAUGAAAUGCCUGUAUUUCAAAUUUUAAAAAUGCUUACUUGCCUUUUUU